AUUCAAUGCAGACUUUACCACGCACUCUCUGCUUAAUGUAAGUGAAGUUAAGAUGAAGACUCUGAACUUCAAUGACCUUAAGGGCAAUAUAAAAACUUGCAGGGUUACUGAGGAGAAUUAAGUAACCAUAUUCCUAGAAAUGUCCUGACACACAGUAAACACAAUAAAUCUUAGGUCUUACAUUGUCACUCUAUGUAAGUCACUCAUGAAGGUAAUUAUGAAGCUCUCAUAUGCUUUAUAAUGUACAAGAAUGUUUUGAGGCUGAUUUUGUCUAUGUUAAUGACUUGAUAAUUGUUUUGAGGGCUGUCUGAUGACAUAUGGAUUACACUAAGAACUGUCAACAGAACUGUUGACCCGAGUGACUAAACAGUUGUGCCAGCUCUGAGAUCAAUGAAACGACUCUGACCACUUCUGCUUGCUACAGGAAAUCUUAAAUGGGAGUAAAAGAAUACUGGACAAAUGUUCCUGUGAUAACUUAAUGAGACUGCAUUAUGUAAACCAUCUCUAGGAGACCCUUCUUGGAGCUAAAGUGUAAGAUGGUAAUCUAUUCAUUUGUAUCUGAUACAGAUGGUAUCUGUAUUCAUUUGACACCGUCUUUAUAGCCCGCAACCCCAGGGGCUCCAGGCAUAAUAAAGCUGUAAGUACAGGUGUUUCCUUUUGAAAUACCUGGAGUGUCAGUUAAUUAAGUUAACUGUAGACUUACCAGUUUUAGUUUGGCCUUGGUGACACAUAAUUUUUCAUUUUUGUGAUGCAUAAACCACCAUUGCAAACUCUUACUUAUUUUCAAAAACAAUUCACUUGAUAUGAUGUGCUCAGGAAUAUUUUUUUGGCCAAGAAGAAUUUCAUAGCCAUUAUUGAUUUUAGAACAAUGUACAAGCAUUCAAGCUACUUAGGGCUGACUUUUUAGCAAUGUCUCCAAAUGUCACUCUUCUUACUUUAAAGAAGAAUAUCCUAACUUUAUAAAAAUUACAGUACUUAGGGCACACUUAAGAUGAUUUUUAAUGAAUAUAAUGGAAGAGGAGAGGAAGUCUUAAGAUAGUUCCUGGAAAUAUAUGUACCUGCUGUCAUAACAAAGAGAACCGUUCUGUGUGAUGGAGGAGGGGAGGCUGGGACGGGAACUGUCAGUAAAAUGGAGUAAGACAGUUCUGAUUUUCUUCCACUCUGUUAAGGCGGCGGGUCCCUCAAUAAGGGAAAGGCCUUCAAGAGACCCUACUUCCAAUGACAUACGCUGGGAAUACUCAGUACUGAAUUUUGCUGAAAUGGAUUCUUGUCAGGACUGGCAUGACUGAUCUCAAGAAAACAGUCACCUAUAUUCCUGGUACACAAUGGUACUCGACAGACAGACGGUUGUUGAAUGAAUAUGGACAAAAGUACUGGCAUGUGCAGGAAUGCAAGCGCAAAUGCAUGGAAAUAGAAAGGGAGGAUAGAAACAGUCACUCUAAGAAAAUAUCAGAUUGCAAAGUAAAGAGAAAAUAUUGCAUUCCAUAGUAAAUAAUGAUACUUUUACUUAGAAGUAAGACGUCAAUGGGUAGUGUUAUUUCACUUAAAUAUUGCUCUCUAACACAGAUAUUAGCAAAGCUAAGACAUUUUAAAAUAAUAACAAAGAUAAUGAUAGUUGACAUUUAUUCAAAGCCAAUAUGUCAGGCACUACAGUAAGAAUUUUACAUGGAAGAGAUCAGUCUUAAUAACAGCUUUAUGAGGUAGGCAGGUAAUAUUUCCACUCAACAUAUGGUAAACUAUGCCAUAGGGAGGUACGUUAUCUCGCCCAAGAUUGCUCAGCCAGAAAGUCAUGGCUCUGACUCCAAAAGAAGGUAUUCUCAACAGUAGGAAUAUUAUUGUAAACAGGGGUGAGUGUGUUAAGUUGGCAUAUGAAGCCACUAUUGCGGAAGACCAAACUUCCUUUGAAAACUCACUUAAUUAACCAUAAUGCACAUUAUUAUACACAGGUUCAUAUAUUCAAAUCCAUAUAGCAAUAUAUACACACUAUAUAUCCUAGACAUAGUAAUGUAUGGUAUAAUAAACUGGAUAUAUAUGCAAAAUACAACUUUACAGUAGAACCACUGAAAUGAGAAUGCUCAUACCAUGAGGGGUACCUCAGGUGGCCUGAGGAGCCACAGCAGAUUCGUGCCCCUGUCUCAUGUCUGCUGUGAGACACAUGCACCUUGUUUAGCAUGGAGUUGCAGAAUUACCCGUACCCAUAAUUUGUCAUCUCUAAAUGUAUUAUUUCCUGCUGAGGGCAAAGAGUUGAAUUUGCAUAAGUGAGCUGUAUACACAGUGUCACUCGACUGUGUGUGCCUGCCCUUCUCCUCCCUCAAUUAUUCCUGCCUGAGACCUCCUGAGCUCUGAGCACAUUCCCACCAACGUGAACCACAGUAAGCAGCCUCAACAGAGCAGGCAGGUCCUGUAAAUCCAAAAUCUUAUUAAUGCCAAGGCAGAGAGGUGACACUCACCCUCUUUUAACUUCUGGAGAAAAAAAUCAGAUAGCCCCCAGUGAAAAAAAAAGAAAAGAAAAGAAAAUCAUCUUCCCCCUGCAUAAGUCUUGUUUCUAAAAGUCCCUGUUUUUCCUGAUUUAACAUUUGAACAAUUUACUUUUGUGUGAAACCACCCAAUUAUACCCCUGGAGCCAAGUGAAGGUCAAAUCCCUUUACACCCAGUAGUCUUGACAACCAACAUUCCACUUAACAACAAGAUUUCCAAAUCCCAGACACAGGCUCUCUUACUGGAAACAUUUCCUCCGUAAGUGACAGAAUGAAGUGAUCACACACACACACAAAAGAGCCGGGGACAGGCUCUCUGGGAGUUUGCUGCAUGUGGCUUGACCUGAAUGUCAGGCACCUGGGGGUCCCCUUAGUGAAGGUUGGUGACCUUCUUCCCUGCAUUGCACUUCUGUUCCCUACUGUCCGCUACCUCUAAACGGAACGCCUCUUUCUUUUCCAGAGGGAAGGGGCUAAAAUACCAGACUGUGAUGUACCAUCUCUCGGUUGCUAUGACUGAGGCCAUUAAAAUGGCAGGCAUUAAAAGACUGCCCCUCAGGACCCAGCUACAAAGCCUCAAGGUCACUGCAUUCCACAGCUUCCUGUUAGCCCUUCAUUCCUGGCCUCAGAGCUUCAAUAUCCUGGCGAGAUCCCCUCGCAUUAUAUUUCAUGGGGCUUAAAUGCAAGCUCUCUCAGCAAGCCCGAGAGUAUAAUGGGAGUUUUAAUACAUUCCUUUUACCUAAGGCUGGGAUCUAUUUCAAAAAGUUACCCAAUAGGUUUUCUUUCAGGUGAGCUCAUUGCUGAGACAUUCCAAAAUGACAUUAAA
rnacentral:lncRNA from 1 species